rnacentral:lncRNA from 1 species
AGAAGGAGCAACCAACCACGUAUGCAUCAGAAAAUUCAGAACCAGCUCCUUCAUCACCUUUACCUCCUCGUCCUUCUCCUAAGGUAACUACUCCCUCAACCUAUGUAAGGUAGCUUUCUUUAAUUUGUCAAAUUUAAUUACUUUGUCCGACUCUAUUAAACCACACAUUUAGCGGCUACUAAUUUUGAAAUCAGAGUUCAAAUUCUGCAAGAUAAGCAUUUUUAUUAUAUGCUACGAAGCAAUUUGAUGAGAGAACAUUGUGGGUGGAAUUAGGAUUGAAUCAUAAAUAAAAAUUAUAAGCUCAUGAAGAGAUAUUAUAUAUGUAUAGAUUCUCAAGGAUAUAUACAUGACAAACAUAUAUGUGACAUGUAUACUUCCCUUUGUGUGCAGGUUACCCCAAAGAUUUCAGACGUGCUUGCAUUUAGCGGGCCAGCACCGGAGAGAAUCAACGGCAGGCUAGCAAUGGUGGGAUUUGUUGCAGCUCUAGCAGUGGAGCUAUCCAAGGGUCAGGAUGUGUUUGCUCAGAUAUCGAACGGUGCAGGGAUCCCAUUGUUUCUUGGCACCAGCAUUUUAUUGACAGUGGCAUCCCUGGUUCCUUUACUGAAAGGGGUGAGUGCGGAGUCCAAAUCAAAGGGGCUCAUGACUUCAGAUGCUGAGUUGUGGAAUGGAAGGCUGGCAAUGUUGGGACUUGUAGCUUUGGCCUUCACUGAGUAUGUGAAGGGUGGGACCCUAGUGUAGAGUAAAU